rnacentral:rRNA from 1 species
AGCUCCGCAAGUGUAUUCCUAUACUGUUGCGGUUAAAAAGCUCGUAGUUGGAUCUGAGUGUUUAGCACAUGGUGCAGUCAUUCACUGUUACUAUGUUGCGGCACAUAAUUGUUGAUUGGUAUAAUCUGAGAUUAUGCUAUCAACGUGUUUACUUUGAACAAAUCAGAGUGCUCAAUACGGGCGUUUCGCUUGUAUGUUCGUGCAUGGAAUAAUAGAAUAGGAUCUCGGUUCUAUUUUGUUGGUUUUCGGAACCAAGAUAAUGAUUAAGAGGGACAGACGGGGGCAUUCGUACUGCUACGGGAGAGGUGAAAUUCUUGGAUCGUAGCAAGACGAACUACUGCGAAAGCAUUUGCCAAGAAUGUUUUCA